GUUGCUGUAGCUCAGGGGAUAGAGCACUUGCCUCCGAAGCAAGGGGCCGCUGGUUCAAUUCCAGUCAGCAACG
rnacentral:tRNA from 1 species